GAUACACUCGCGUUCACACACACUCCUGUCUGCACAGUCGAAGGAGAAACAGACCCACGGGACGAGACGAGGAGUGGGGGGACACAGACAAACACUGAGAAAGAUAGAGCGUGGGGGGGGGCGACAACUGUGAAGUUCGACUUCAGAGUGUGACCCUGGAGAGCAUAAGGACAGUGACAUUGAGACAGAGGAGACGAGUACAAACUGUACUCUCAGAGGGGCACUUCACACUCACUUCACAGCAACUCCUGCAACCUGUUGAUCGGGACAGAUAUUCACACGGAGCGACAGUAAAGUGGGCCUGCUGUUCAAAUGGAAUAUUGCCCUGAUCUUAGGUCUGCAACUGUGGACCGGCUCUAUUACAAAGAUGUGCACACUCACAUUCUGUAAUGAAACACGUUACUUGGAUUUAUGCCUGGCGUCUUAUUGCAUUUACAGACCAUAAAUGUCUUCACCUUAUAAGGUACUUUGACCAACAAUGUAUGUAAAAAGAAAGAAAUAUGUUCAAAUGCAUUCUUGUUAUAAACUGUUUCUUAAUAAGGUCUGAGGAAAAAUGUGUUUCACCGUUUUUGAUUUCUUUUGAUUUCUUUUUCAGGUUUCAAAGCUUUUUUGUGUCGGUUUUAUGCCUGUUGUUGGUACCAUUUUUUGUGAAA